GCCCAGAGUAGAAGCGUUCAGCCCGGCACCUGUCCAUCGAACAGGCCGUGGUCGGAAAUUGCUCUUUGA
rnacentral:ncRNA from 1 species